rnacentral:rRNA from 3 species
GUUAUAUGGUCAAGUGAAGAAGCGCAUACGGUGGAUGCCUUGGCAGUCAGAGGCGAUGAAAGACGUGGUAGCCUGCGAAAAGCUUCGGGGAGUCGGCAAACAGACUGUGAUCCGGAGAUGUCUGAAUGGGGGAACCCAGCCAUCAUAAGAUGGUUAUCUUGUACUGAAUACAUAGGUGCAAGAGGCGAACCAGGGGAACUGAAACAUCUAAGUACCCUGAGGAAAAGAAAUCAACCGAGAUUCCCUUAGUAGUGGCGAGCGAACGGGGACCAGCCCUUAAGUUGUAUUGAGAUUAGCGGAACGUUCUGGAAAGGACGGCCAUAGUGGGUGAUAGCCCUGUACGCGAAAAUCCCUUUGCAAUGAAAUCGAGUAGGACGGGGCACGAGAAACCUUGUCUGAAUAUGGGGGGACCAUCCUCCAAGGCUAAAUACUACUGACUGACCGAUAGUGAACCAGUACCGUGAGGGAAAGGCGAAAAGAACCGCGGAGAGCGGAGUGAAAUAGAUCCUGAAACCGUAUGCGUACAAGCAGUGGGAGCCCACUUUGUUGGGUGACUGCGUACCUUUUGUAUAAUGGGUCAGCGACUUAUUUUCAGUGGCGAGCUUAACCGAAUAGGGGAGGCGUAGCGAAAGCGAGUCUUAAUAGGGCGUCUAGUCGCUGGGAAUAGACCCGAAACCGGGCGAUCUAUCCAUGGGCAGGUUGAAGGUUGGGUAACACUAACUGGAGGACCGAACCGACUACCGUUGAAAAGUUAGCGGAUGACCUGUGGAUCGGAGUGAAAGGCUAAUCAAGCUCGGAGAUAGCUGGUUCUCCUCGAAAGCUAUUUAGGUAGCGCCUCAUGUAUCACUGUAGGGGGUAGAGCACUGUUUCGGCUAGGGGGUCAUCCCGACUUACCAAACCGAUGCAAACUCCGAAUACCUACAAGUGCCGAGCAUGGGAGACACACGGCGGGUGCUAACGUCCGUCGUGAAAAGGGAAACAACCCAGACCGUCAGCUAAGGUCCCAAAGUCAUGGUUAAGUGGGAAACGAUGUGGGAAGGCUUAGACAGCUAGGAGGUUGGCUUAGAAGCAGCCACCCUUUAAAGAAAGCGUAAUAGCUCACUAGUCGAGUCGGCCUGCGCGGAAGAUGUAACGGGGCUCAAACCAUGCACCGAAGCUACGGGUAUCAUCUUUUGAUGAUGCGGUAGAGGAGCGUUCUGUAAGCCUGUGAAGGUGAGUUGAGAAGCUUGCUGGAGGUAUCAGAAGUGCGAAUGCUGACAUGAGUAACGACAAUGGGUGUGAAAAACACCCACGCCGAAAGACCAAGGUUUCCUGCGCAACGUUAAUCGACGCAGGGUUAGUCGGUCCCUAAGGCGAGGCUGAAAAGCGUAGUCGAUGGAAAACAGGUUAAUAUUCCUGUACUUCUGGUUAUUGCGAUGGAGGGACGGAGAAGGCUAGGCCAGCCUGGCGUUGGUAGUCCAGGUUUAAGGUGGUAGGCUGAGAUCUUAGGUAAAUCCGGGAUCUUAAGGCCGAGAGCUGAUGACGAGUGUUCUUUUAGAACACGAAGUGGUUGAUGCCAUGCUUCCAAGAAAAGCUUCUAAGCUUCAGGUAACCAGGAACCGUACCCCAAACCGACACAGGUGGUUGGGUAGAGAAUACCAAGGCGCUUGAGAGAACUCGGGUGAAGGAACUAGGCAAAAUGGCACCGUAACUUCGGGAGAAGGUGCGCCGGUGGAGGUGAAGCAUUUACUGCGUAAGCCCCUGCCGGUCGAAGAUACCAGGCCGCUGCGACUGUUUAUUAAAAACACAGCACUCUGCAAACACGAAAGUGGACGUAUAGGGUGUGACGCCUGCCCGGUGCCGGAAGGUUAAUUGAUGGGGUUAGCGCAAGCGAAGCUCUUGAUCGAAGCCCCGGUAAACGGCGGCCGUAACUAUAACGGUCCUAAGGUAGCGAAAUUCCUUGUCGGGUAAGUUCCGACCUGCACGAAUGGCGUAACGAUGGCGGCGCUGUCUCCACCCGAGACUCAGUGAAAUUGAAAUCGCUGUGAAGAUGCAGUGUAUCCGCGGCUAGACGGAAAGACCCCGUGAACCUUUACUAUAGCUUUGCACUGGACUUUGAAUUUGCUUGUGUAGGAUAGGUGGGAGGCUUUGAAGCGUGGACGCCAGUCUGCGUGGAGCCAACCUUGAAAUACCACCCUGGCAACUUUGAGGUUCUAACUCAGGUCCGUUAUCCGGAUCGAGGACAGUGUAUGGUGGGUAGUUUGACUGGGGCGGUCUCCUCCUAAAGAGUAACGGAGGAGUACGAAGGUGCGCUCAGACCGGUCGGAAAUCGGUCGUAGAGUAUAAAGGCAAAAGCGCGCUUGACUGCGAGACAGACACGUCGAGCAGGUACGAAAGUAGGUCUUAGUGAUCCGGUGGUUCUGUAUGGAAGGGCCAUCGCUCAACGGAUAAAAGGUACUCCGGGGAUAACAGGCUGAUACCGCCCAAGAGUUCAUAUCGACGGCGGUGUUUGGCACCUCGAUGUCGGCUCAUCACAUCCUGGGGCUGAAGCCGGUCCCAAGGGUAUGGCUGUUCGCCAUUUAAAGUGGUACGCGAGCUGGGUUUAGAACGUCGUGAGACAGUUCGGUCCCUAUCUGCCGUGGACGUUUGAGAUUUGAGAGGGGCUGCUCCUAGUACGAGAGGACCGGAGUGGACGAACCUCUGGUGUUCCGGUUGUCACGCCAGUGGCAUUGCCGGGUAGCUAUGUUCGGAAAAGAUAACCGCUGAAAGCAUCUAAGCGGGAAACUUGCCUCAAGAUGAGAUCUCACUGGAACCUUGAGUUCCCUAAAGGGCCGUCGAAGACUACGACGUUGAUAGGUUGGGUGUGUAAGCGCUGUGAGGCGUUGAGCUAACCAAUACUAAUUGCCCGUGAGGCUUGACCAUAUAACACCCAAGCAAUU